CCGGCUUCUCGCCCUGAGCAGCUGCAGACUGAGGAGCUCCUCCCAUCCUGCAGAGUGCAGACAGACACUGUGGACGCUCGGGGCUCUGAACGCCUAAGAAAUCGCCUUGCACAAAUAAGUACACAAGCUUCUCCCCUGGUGGUUGACUUCAAGCUCUCUGAGUGACAUCAGUGAACACAUACUUGGAAAGAUAUGUGCAGCAGCAGCACAUAAUUAUGUACUAUUUCUGCCACACAAAUACAGUAAACAGAUCAGCCUGGCCCUUUCAUCUCUUGCAUGAUGUGAGGACACAGCGUUUGCCCCUCUUCUCUUGCCGUACGAGGACACAACCACAAGCCACCAUCUUGAAACCCAGAGUGAGCCUUUGCCAGAGACUGAAUGUGCUGGCUGGACCUUGACCUUCUAAGCCUCUAGAACUGUG
rnacentral:lncRNA from 1 species